rnacentral:rRNA from 1 species
GGAAAAGAAACCAACAGGGAUUGCCCUAGUAACGGCGAGUGAAGCGGCAACAGCUCAAAUUUGAAAUCUGGCCUUCGGGUCCGAAUUGUAAUUUGCAGAGGAUGCUUUUGGCGCGGUGCCUUCCGAGUUCCCUGGAACGGGACGCCUUAGAGGGUGAGAGCCCCGUACGGUUGGACACCAAGCCUCUGUAAAGCUCCUUCGACGAGUCGAGUAGUUUGGGAAUGCUGCUCUAAAUGGGAGGUAAAUUUCUUCUAAAGCUAAAUACCGGCCAGAGACCGAUAGCGCACAAGUAGAGUGAUCGAAAGAUGAAAAGCACUUUGAAAAGAGGGUUAAAUAGCACGUGAAAUUGUUGAAAGGGAAGCGUUUACGGCCAGACCUUUUCUUAGCGGAUCAUCCGGUGUUCUCACUGGUGCACUUCGCUAGGUUUAGGCCAGCAUCGGCUUCUGUAGGGGGAUAAAAGCAGUGGGAAAGUAGCUCCCUCGGGAGUGUUAUAGCCCUAAGCAUAAUACCUUUACGGGGGCCGAGGACCGCGCUUUUGCAAGGAUGCUGGCGUAAUGGUCGUCAACGACCCGUCUUGAAACACGGACCAAGGAGUCGAACAUUUGUGCGAGUGUUUGGGUGUUAAACCCUCACGCGUAAUGAAAGUGAACGGAGGUGAGAGCCCUUUAGGGUGCAUCAUCGACCGAUCCUGAUGUCUUCGGAUGGAUUUGAGUAAGAGCAUAACUGUUCGGACCCGAAAGAUGGUGAACUAUGCGUGGAUAGGGUGAAGCCAGAGGAAACUCUGGUGGAGGCUCGCAGCGGUUCUGACGUGCAAAUCGAUCGUCAAAUCUGCGCAUGGGGGCGAAAGACUUAUCGAACCAUCUAGUAGCU